rnacentral:rRNA from 1 species
UGGGGAAUAUUGGGCAAUGGGGGAAACCCUGACCCAGCGACGCCGCGUGGAGGAAGGAGCCCUUCGGGGUGUAAACUCCUGUUGUAAGGGAAGAAGACAGUGACGGUACCUUACGAGGAAGCCCCGGCAAACUACGUGCCAGCAGCCGCGGUAACACGUAGGGGGCGAGCGUUGUCCGGAAUUACUGGGCGUAAAGCGCACGCAGGCGGAUGCGCGCGUCGGCUGUGAAAUGCACCGGCUCAACCGGUGCACUGCGGUCGAUACGGCGCAUCUGGAGUGCGGGAGAGGGAAGCGGAAUUCCCGGUGUAGCGGUGAAAUGCGUAGAUAUCGGGAGGAACGCCGGUGGCGAAGGCGGCUUCCUGGCCCGCAACUGACGCUCAUGUGCGAAAGCCAGGGGAGCGAACC